UAAGGGUAUUGUAGGAAACAUGAAUUAAAUGACACUUUUAAUCAGGAGCUCUGUAGUGUAGUGGUUAGCGUGUUUGUCUCAAAACAAAAUGAUACUCGGGAUUUUAAUUGCUACAGUAGUUGCAACGUAACAGUAACUGCAAGUAACUUACAUGACUGACACGUUACACGAACAAUUCUGCACGAUAAUAACUUCAUGUUGCACAGAACUUGAAUUUUCUGCAAUGGCAAUGCAACAGAAAUAGGAAAUAGAGACGACUAUAAAGGGUCGGAGUUGGGUAAAAUAUACAGUGUGUCUAGAAUUAGGGAGUGAAAAGUAGUUUAUUGAAAAAUGAACUCCCCAAGAGUGCGCAGAAAAUUUUGCAUAGUAAAUUAUAUAAGGGAAUUGAUCUACAUGUAUGUAGCGUUAUGGUCAAAGACUAAUUAUAUAAAACAGUAAAGCUACAUUUCAGCAGCUAAAAUUAUGUUUGAGGCCGGGGAAACAGGACAUAAUUAUCUGCAUGAUGAAACUGAUUAUUUUUAAAAAAAUUAAACUUAAAAUCACUGAAACUUAAACAUGAAUUACUAGAGAAGACAUUAGAACGGAUGAUCUUUAUAGUAAAUCUUAUCACGUCGAAAAAGUUUGAAAUAUUUUGAAAUUUAAUUAUUUUAUUGCAUUGGAAAGUGGCCGAUUGGCUUUCAGCCAAGUAAAUUUCCAAAGUUUUCGGAAAUGAAGAAAAUGAAAAUAGGAAUUUUUUUAAAGAUUGAAUUUUAAAUAUAGUCCAUAAUACGGGGAAGAUGUAAUGGUUGACAAGGAUGAGUAAGGAAAUAUCCAUGAAUACAGACUAGUACUGUUCAUUAAUAGAACUUGGUAUAUUGAUAUGUCAAUGGUACGAGUACCCAACACUGUCAAGAAAUCAGGUGAUGAAAACGCAACACUUGUGUUCUAACUCCCGUUGGACUCUAAAAUAAAUUGGCAGCAUGUCAGGUAGGAUUUCCAUUGCUGGUAAAAAUGAAACUUCUCCAGAAGAAAUCACACCUCUUUCGAUUUACAAUACUACGAAACAAUGCUUAAACACCACCGACUUGGCGAAUUAUACUAACGCAGAUGGAAUAGAAAAUAUUGCUGAAAGAAACUCGAGCUCAGAAAUGGCUAUGAUGAUAGCAUUGGGAAUUAUUUUACCCAUUGUUAUAUUUUCUUUGCUAACUGGAAUAUUGUUUUGGUGGAAGAAAAAAAUGAACGCGUACAUGUCUGAACAGAGGACCGUCGAGGAGGCACACGUCAUAGAUAGUAAUGAGGGGGACAUUCCUUCGAAUGACCAACAAAAUGUCGUUGAUGAACACAACAAAAUGAUUUCUGGCAACGACGAUUGAAAUGCACAUGCUAGUUCAAGCUUUUAUCAACUUCUUACAUAUCAUAUCAAUUAAUUAGAAAAGUAGUAAUUGAAAAGAAGGAAAAAUACUCUCUUUCAUUUAUAU